ACGGGGAUUUCCUGGAAUUUGGAUGGAUUUCCCCCAUUUUGCUACUGGUGCUUACUGGGGAAGCCUCCCCUGGCUCCUUUUUAGUGCUUAGGACAAAAUCCGACCCCAAAAUCCGACCCCAAAAUUCCUCCCCGGGAAUAAAAUCCGGCGCUUCCGACCCCACGAGGGCGGAGGUGGAAACUGGAAGGAUAAAAAUAUCAAAAAAACGGGAAAAUAAAAAUUCCGAAUCCAUCCGUGAGGUAUUCGCGACCUGAUCAAAGAAAAAAUCCCAAAAAAAAGGUGGAAAAGGUAAAAAAAAGGUGAUUUUUGCAUCCCAGUGGGAAUUUUGUGGGAUUCUGUCAUCGGUGAGAGUUGAGCUCUGCCAGGAGAUCCUCGGGGUUACGGAUCCGGGAUUGUUCCGACGGCGCUCGGAAGCCCCACGGAGCCGCUGCUGGAAUUUGGGAUGUGGAUCCCCUCAGGAGCAGCAAAAUCCACCCCAAAAAAACCCCAAAAGCUCUGAAAAAACCCAAAUUUCCGCUCGUUUUUCCCUAAAAAAUCCCAAAACCGGGAGCGUGGAGGAGGAUCCCAAAACCUGGGAUAAACCACGGGAGCUUUUCCACAGCAGCCACGGAUCCUGGAGGUGAUCCCAAAUCCUUCCAAAAUCCACCUCAAAAAAAAACCCCAAAACCUCAAA